rnacentral:rRNA from 1 species
UAGGGAAUCUUCCGCAAUGGACGAAAGUCUGACGGAGCGACGCCGCGUGAGCGAAGAAGGUCUUCGGAUCGUAAAGCUCUGUUGUUAGGGAAGAAGAAGUGCCGUUCGAACAGGGCGGCACGGUGACGGUACCUAACGAGAAAGCCCCGGCUAACUACGUGCCAGCAGCCGCGGUAAUACGUAGGGGGCGAGCGUUGUCCGGAAUUAUUGGGCGUAAAGCGCGCGCAGGCGGUCCCUUAAGUCUGAUGUGAAAGCCCACGGCUUAACCGUGGAGGGUCAUUGGAAACUGGGGGACUUGAGUGCAGAAGAGGAGAGCGGAAUUCCACGUGUAGCGGUGGAAUGCGUAGAGAUGUGGAGGAACACCAGUGGCGAAGGCGGCUCUCUGGUCUGUAACUGACGCUGAGGCGCGAAAGCGUGGGGAGCAAACAGG